rnacentral:rRNA from 1 species
CCUACGGGUGGCUGCAGUGGGGGAUAUUGCACAAUGGGGGAAACCCUGAUGCAGCGACGCCGCGUGUGGGAAGACGGUCCUCUGGAUUGUAAACCACUGUCCCCAGGGACGAAACUGACGGUACCUGGGGAGGAAGCUCCGGCUAACUACGUGCCAGCAGCCGCGGUAAUACGUAGGGAGCGCGCGUUGUCCGGAAUUACUGGGUGUAAAGGGAGCGUAGGCGGAGAUGCAAGUUGGGUGUCAAAACUACCGGCUCAACUGGUAGUCGAACGCAAAACUGCAGCUCUUGAGUGAAGUAGAGGCAGGCGGAAUUCCUAGUGUAGCGGUGAAAUGCGUAGAUAUUAGGAGGAACACCAGUGGCGAAGGCGGCCUGCUGGGCUUUUACUGACGCUGAGGCUCGAAAGUGUGGGGAGCAAACAGGAUUAGAUACCCUGGUAGUC